UACAUAGGGUGCGAGCGUUAAUCGGAUUUACUGGGCGUAAAGCGUGCGCAGGCGGCCCGUUAAGACAGGUGUGAAAUCCCUGGGCUCAACCUAGGAAUUGCGCUUGUGACUGGCGGGCUCGAGUACGGUAGAGGGGGGUGGAAUUCCUGGUGUAGCAGUGAAAUGCGUAGAGAUCAGGAGGAACACCGAUGGCGAAGGCAGCCCCCUGGGCCUGUACUGACGCUCAUGCACGAAAGCGUGGGGAGCAAACAGG
rnacentral:rRNA from 1 species